UGGUGGUGGAGAGAUUCAUUUUCACUUCUCUACAUUUCCUGGAGGGAUGCAAGGAGGAUGGAGUGGGGCAGAGCAUCUGCCCUUCUGGCUGUGCCUUCAUUCACACUGCCCGGGUAAAAAUGACCCAUGGAGGAUCCAAAAAGUCAUUAAUCUCGUAUUACUCCUGCUGCUGUCCAUAUCGAUAGGUCCCAUGGAAGCUGGGGAGCCCCUUCAGCAUGCCAAAAAGCCCAACACCACAGCAGGAAAAUCCACGGCAAGGUGCUGGUUUCUCCUUACCCAGCUGCCUCCUGCAUCCCUGGGCUCCAGCAUCUGCCGCGGGCAGGCGGCCGGGCGACUCCAUCCCCUUGGCGACCCAUGGGACCACAGGGGACACGAGCCGAAACACACUGAACCUUGAAACUAAAGAAGCCUCAAACCUGUCAUUAAAGCAGCUGCAUUGGCAAUAAAUUUAGUAUUUAAAGAAGUUCGUCGACUGUU
rnacentral:lncRNA from 1 species